GUACCGUCCCACAAACUUAAGAACCUCGUCGAUCAGCACCACUGGGAAGGCCACUGCUAUCACCAAGAGCCAUUCGUUGAAACUGAGGGGCACAAUCCCAAACACCUGAGCGAGGAAAGGCACAUAGAGGAUCAAGAAAUGCAGCCCAAAAGACACAGACAUGGCCAGAAGAAGCCACGGGUUAACCCAUGGUGGCAUGCUCAGAAGGCUGCCAUCCUCCGACAGGGCAUUAAGCGAGUUGAACAUCUCAAUGGCCACCAAGACCGACAAAGACAGGGUCGUCGCUUUAAUCUUGCCACCCUGGAAGUAAUCGCACGGGUUCGCAUCAAAGCCAAAGGUCCUUGCUCCUGCUGUGAAUGGUGACACCUUGAAGCCCUCCCAUGUGGAGCACUGGCCCCAGUUUGAUAGCUGGGAGUAUGACACAAGAGUAUGACCAUCACUGGCCAGGUCGAUUCCCAGGAAAGAGCCAUGUGUGUACCAGAUGAUGAAGAUACCCACUGUUGCAAUCCCAACAUAAAGGCCAAUAACCUACACAUGCCAAGACAAGGAUCUCAGGUGAAUUGGUGUCAUUCAACAGGGAUGAAGAGCUUCGUGAGACUAGCCACAAGGCAUAACCUUUACAGGUUUACUAAUAAUUCAAUAUUCACUGCUAAAAUUUAGUCUUUCAUUUAAAAAUAUGUAUAAAAUGCAAGGCAGGUUCAUUGAAAAAAGCGCACGACAUAUUAACUUCAAAUCCAUCAGCCAAUAACAUGAAUUGCUAGAAAACAUACCAUAUACCGAAAAAGGAUCCAAGGGGUGAUCAAUGAGUCAUCACUUCUUCGGGGAGGUUUCUUCAUGAUAUCUUUAUCAGGCGGGUUGAAACCCAAAGCUGUCGCAGGAGGGCCAUCUGUGACAAGAUUGACCCAAAGAAGUUGAACCGGGAUGAGGCCUUCUGGGAUACCCAAAGCUGAUGUCAGGAAUAUAGACGCAACUUCUCCGAUGUUCGAGGAUAUCAUAUAUCU